UACGUAGGGGGCAAGCGUUGUCCGGAAUUAUUGGGCGUAAAGAGCGUGUAGGCGGCCCGGUAAGUCCGCUGUGAAAGUCCAGGGCUCAACCCUGGGAUGCCGGUGGAUACUGUCGGGCUCGAGUCCGGAAGAGGCGAGUGGAAUUCCUGGUGUAGCGGUGAAAUGCGCAGAUAUCAGGAGGAACACCGAUGGCGAAGGCAGCUCGCUGGGACGUGACUGACGCUGAGACGCGAAAGCGUGGGGAGCAAACAGG
rnacentral:rRNA from 1 species